AUUGUUUAUAAUACAAUUUCGGAAUUUAAUCACAAUAUGAUGUAGUGAAAGGUGUAUAAAUCUAGAAUAUCUAAUCCAGCACUUGAUAACAGCACUUCAUUCAGUGUUUAUAGUUGUUUUAUUUGUUUUAAAUUUAGAACUCGUUUAUCUCAUGUAAACUUCACUAAGUUAAAGUAGAGUCAGGCAAUAAAGUUUUGGGCUCUUGAUGGUGGAUGACUCUAGACACUAAAAGCAGAUGGAUGCGCAAAGUGUCAAGGAAAACGCUUCAAGUUUAAAAAGCAUCAUUCGAAGCAGGAGGAACUCAAGCACAGACAUUUUCUACAACAUACACAACUAUUCAGAAAUACUUACAACCAACACAUACUCUGUCUACACACCACUAUACCAUUCUAAACUACAACCAACUCUUGCAUUUAGAGGCUUUAUGAGAAAAGACUAUGAUCAGUUCACCUUUGGAUUGGAACUAAUUCCUUCUAUUGAGGCACCAAGACAGAUCGUUGUAAAGUGGUCACUUUGUAUAUGGCACGCUCUCAAAUGUGAAUAUUUACAGUUAGGUCUAUCAAGGUUUAACUCUAAACGUUCAGACACAAUAGUAUCAAAGAUUGAAGAUGUCAAUGAAUCGGUUGAGAACGAUUCUCUGUUGUUAAAAUGGAAUAUAGAAGUGAUAACAAAUGAUGAACGAGCGCAGAACACAGAAGAAACUGAUGAUAAAACAGAAUCAUUGAAUGAUGUGUAUUUUGAAAAUGCGAUAGAUACUUUAAUUUCAAACUUACACACUGCGACUAGAACUAGCAACGACGAUGUUUUAUCACUGAAGAAUGUGCAGCAAGGUCUCGCUCAAUGUGCUCAACAGCAGCAAAAAGUGGAUGCAAAAUUAAACGAGUUUCAAAAGCAAACGAUUGCUAUUAGCGACAGGCUGACAUGUUUGUUGGAUAGAAUGGACGUUUAUACAACCGGAGAUCAUCUUACGCUUUGUCAUUGUUGUUCAGAAGAAGAGAGUGUAAUUGGUCGUACAUGUGUACACAAAUGUAAAGAAUCAACCCAUGAAUGUAAUGACCCUAUAAACAAGCUAGAAAGAUUUCCAUCACUUCAAAAUCUGAACGAUACCUUAUCCCAAGGACUAUCUCCGCAAUCGACUACUGACGUGAUACGCUUUGAGAGGCAGCAAGAAGUUAAUCGGAAGAACAAUGCUCAGACGCAGACCCUUAGUGAAGGAUUAAUAGCUAUAAAAGACGAAGACAACCUAAAGUACUUUGAGGAAAAUAAGAGACUUCGAAAAGAAAUUGCAAAAUUGAAAGAAAUUAUUGACGACAAGGAUAAACAAAUAGAUGCCAUGAAAUACGAUGAAGAUAUCUUGCAAGAUCUUCUAGAAGCAAAAGAAAAAGAAAUAGAAAGACUAUAUAGUUCAGGCAUUGAUUACAGCAUAGAAACUAUCGAUGACAAUGAAAUAACAAUCAAGCUUUUGGAACAAACAAGCGUUGUAUAUGGAAAGCCUGAAGACUCUGAACCAAAAGUCAGCACCGGAAAAGGGAGACUUAGUCUUGUGGAACCGAUUGUCAAUUAAUCAAAAUGAGAGUAAAUGAGAAAAUAAGACAACUUUAUUUACAUACAUUGAUCCUUCAAACAUCUAUUUCUAUAUGAUAUUCUAUCUUUCUAAUUAUAAUAAAAUUUAAUUAUGUUUUCAUUGCUAUCUGAAAACAUUUUUAUACUUUUGUGUAACCGACAUUUCAUGAAAAUGACAUUUUAAAAGAAGAAUAUUUUUACAAAUCUUUUGUUUAAAUUUUUGUUGAAAUAAAUGUAGACCUUUGCGUACAAGUCCAGGUUCUGCUUCCUAUUACAACAUCUCUGUUCAAGGGAACCUGGACUUGUAUGCUGCGUGCAUCGAUCUCAUCAAAGAGUUUGACAUAGAGAGUCGCGAUGGCUUGUGGGGGAUUCUAUUUCGGCUAGGAUUAUUGUUCACCUGAAUAAGAAAACAACAGGUAUGUAGGUCAGAUGUGUAGCGUGGGGGUGUGUCAAAGUAUUUUUGUCACUCAUCAAUAUUAAGUUGUGUCUGUUCUCUUUAUGGGUGUGUAUUUCUGUUGUGUUGUCUUUAUAUGAGAAAAAGAGUCUUUUUAAUCACAACAAAUUUCCAUAAGGAUCAAAAAAGAAGUCUUAGUUUUAACCUUUAUAAUUGAAACUACUUUCACUUUCUAUACCUUCUUAUUUCAACAGAAGUACGGGACUUUUUUUUUUUAAAGUUCAUUUCCUGCCAUGGAUACAGAUCUACAUCGACUCCAUGAAUAUGCUCAACUAAUUAAGGACGCUAAAAGUGGUAAAACAAAGACUCAACUAGACAUAUUUUACAAUGAAGCGAACUUUGCUGAACUGUUCGGUGAUGAUGACUGUAUCAGGCGCACACCACGGUAUACAGCAAACACCAAACCGGCCUUAUCAUUUAGAGGUGUAAUACUUAAACAUGGAGAGACAUUAACAAUAAAACUAGAAAUUCUUCCCCUAACUACAGAGACCGUCUGCUCUAAGGUGAUGUGGUCAUUUAAUGUUUACAACAGAGAUACAGACAAUUUUGAACAUUUGGGCACUGCAGAAAUCUGUAUUAGUUCUCAAAAAUGUGCUUCUGAAAUUGACAUUCAAUCGAAAAUCAUGAAAAAAUAUGUGCAUGAACAUUUUGUAGAUCUAUUAUUUAAAUGGAAUGUUGAGGUCACGUGUUUAUUUCUUACCGAAUCGAACGUACACCAUUCCGCUAGCGAUGACAUUGUUGGCUAUGAAGUUCCCAUUGGUAACACUUUGGAUGAAGUAAUAAAGUUUUUAUCUUGCGAAAAACAAAACGAAGGCGAAACAAAAAUGACACUGCAAUCAAUUUUAGCAGACAUUGGGGAUUGCAGAAAAAAGCAAACAAAUAAUGAAGACAGACUUCAGACAAUAGAACGAUUCCUCUUUGAUAUAAAUUGCAGACUUUCGGAAUUGUUACAAAAACAAGACAAGAAACAAAAGGAGGAUUUCUGUCAGGUAA